GUGGGGAAUAUUGGACAAUGGGCGAAAGCCUGAUCCAGCCAUGCCGCGUGUGUGAAGAAGGUCUUCGGAUUGUAAAGCACUUUAAGUUGGGAGGAAGGGCAGUAAGUUAAUACCUUGCUGUUUUGACGUUACCGACAGAAUAAGCACCGGCUAACUUCGUGCCAGCAGCCGCGGUAAUACGAAGGGUGCAAGCGUUAAUCGGAAUUACUGGGCGUAAAGCGCGCGUAGGUGGUUUUGUAAGUUGGAGGUGAAAUCCCCGGGCUCAACCUGGGAACUGCCUCCAAAACUGGAUGACUAGAGUACGGUAGAGGGUAGUGGAAUGUCCUGUGUAGCGGUGAAAUGCGUAGAUAUAGGAAGGAACACCAGUGGCGAAGGCGACUACCUGGACUGAUACUGACACUGAGGUGCGAAAGCGUGGGGAGCAAACAGGAUUAGAUACCCGAGUAGUCC
rnacentral:rRNA from 1 species